ensembl:lncRNA
AUUGGCUUGAUAACUUAAUUUUUCCACACCAUUUGAGUUCAGGAUUUCAAAGCUCCUCCCCCACUUAACGAGCAAGGAGCAAGUUCAGACAUGUUUCAGGCUGACCAGUAUGACACAAAGGACAUUUCAAGAACAUGGGGUAGCCUUAGAUCACAUUUAUCAAGACAUCACUCUAAGGGAACUCAGGAAAGAUUCAGAUCUGCAGAAAGUAUCUCUUUUACUUGUCCUUGUUGCAAUGCCAAGACAAUCUCCACAGAAAGAGAAUUAUUUGAACACCUGGAAGCCGAAAACAUACUCCUCACUCAUUGAUGGACUUCAAGGAAGACAUAAUAAAAAGAACACACAAGAGUUUGAGGAAGACAUUGAAAGGCAAGUGAUGACAAUUGCCUUCAUCGGUGAUCAACCUACUUCAGGAUUUGACCACAAGACGGCAACCAUUGUGGUUGAGGGCAUCAAAAUCCUGAAUGGAAUGGAUAUCUCAAGGUGCUGUGCUCUGCUGAUGGGCAUAAUAUAUGCUCUGAAUCUGAGUUACCCCAAGGAACUUAAAUAUACCUGUGAAGUGUUUCAGAAGCUGUUUCUUGAACUUGAUGGACUGAAACCCAG